rnacentral:rRNA from 1 species
UACGUAGGGUGCAAGCGUUAAUCGGAAUUACUGGGCGUAAAGCGCGCGUAGGCGGCUAAUUAAGUCGGGUGUGAAAGCCCCGGGCUCAACCUGGGAAUGGCGAUGAAGACUGCAAGGCUUGAAUCUGGCAGAGGGGGGUAGAAUUCCACGUGUAGCAGUGAAAUGCGUAGAGAUGUGGAGGAACACCGAUGGCGAAGGCAGCCCCCUGGGUCAAGAUUGACGCUCAUGCACGAAAGCGUGGGGAGCAAACAGG